rnacentral:rRNA from 1 species
AGAGUUUGAUCAUGGCUCAGGCCCUUACGCUGGCGGCGUGCCUAACACAUGCAAGUCGAACGGACCCAUCCCGUCGAUGCGAUUUCGGUCAAGUCAAAGGAUGUUUUAGUGGCGGACGGGUGAGUAACGCGUGGGCAACCUGCCUUACACCGGGGGAUAACACUUAGAAAUAGGUGCUAAUACCGCAUAACAGGAGAACAUGCAUGUGUUUUCCUUGAAAACCACGGUGGUGUAAGAUGGACCCGCGUCUGAUUAGCUUGUUGGCAGGGUAACGGCCUACCAAGGCGACGAUCAGUAGCCGGCCUGAGAGGGUGGACGGCCACAUUGGGACUGAGACACGGCCCAGACUCCUACGGGAGGCAGCAGUGGGGAAUAUUGCACAAUGGGGGAAACCCUGAUGCAGCGACGCCGCGUGAGUGAAGAAGUAUUUCGGUAUGUAAAGCUCUGUCAGCAGGGAAGAAAAUGACGGUACCUGACCAAGAAGCCCCGGCUAACUACGUGCCAGCAGCCGCGGUAAUACGUAGGGGGCAAGCGUUAUCCGGAUUUACUGGGUGUAAAGGGAGCGCAGACGGCAGUGCAAGUCCGGAGUGAAAGCCCGGGGCCCAACCCCGGGACUGCUCUGGAAACUGUACGGCUGGAGUGCCGGAGAGGUAAGCGGAAUUCCUAGUGUAGCGGUGAAAUGCGUAGAUAUUAGGAGGAACACCAGUGGCGAAGGCGGCUUACUGGACGGUAACUGACGUUGAGG